rnacentral:rRNA from 1 species
UAAGGAAUAUUGGACAAUGGUCGCAAGACUGAUCCAGCCAUGCCGCGUGCAGGAAGACGGCCCUAUGGGUUGUAAACUGCUUUUGUACCAGAGAAAACCUAUCUACGUGUAGAUAGCUGAUAGUAUGGUAGGAAUAAGCACCGGCUAACUCCGUGCCAGCAGCCGCGGUAAUACGGAGGGUGCGAGCGUUAUCCGGAUUUACUGGGUUUAAAGGGUGCGUAGGUGGGCUUAUAAGUCAGUGGUGAAAUCUCCGAGCUUAACUUGGAAACUGCCGUUGAUACUAUAGGUCUUUAAUUAUCUGGAGGUAAGCGGAAUAUGUCAUGUAGCGGUGAAAUGCUUAGAUAUGACAUAGAACACCAAUUGCGAAGGCAGCUUACUACAUAUAAAUUGACGCUGAGGCACGAAAGCGUGGGGAUCAAACA